UGUUAUCUUUGCCCUGACAGUAAUAAUAUAUUCCUGCAAAAAAAUAUUGUACACUGUAAGGACAUUGAUACUUCUGACACUUAUAGAAAAGAAACAAAAAUUAUCAAAGUUACCUUCAUAUUAAUGUCCCAAGCAGUUUCCAACAACUGUUUGAUAUUCAUCCUAUUAAUGAACAUCUGUUCCUCCAUGGAAAUCUUAUUCGGAGAAUAGCUCUUUAGAACUUGGACACCAAUAAAAACAGUUGGAAACCUAUACAACAUUUCAACAGAUGUGUAAAAUAUACUAUCAAAUCUGCAUUCCAUUCAAUCCUAAAAACAAACACUAACCUUUCAAUCAAAGAUGCCACAUAUUUUAUUUGCAAAUUUACAUAGAUUUUUGUAGCACUUGUGGCGAAAAAGGCAACCUCACCUAUUUAGAAAAUAAAAGAUUAAAAUCACACUCUAAAAAUUCUUUGCAUCUUUGAAAUUCAAUUCAAGCACAAUGCCUAUGAAACUCAUCCAACCAAAGUAUCAUCACCUUGAAAUUUUCUAACUGUUGUAAAAGUUGCUAUCACAGUGAAAGGACCGAAAUUUUUCUCAUAGAAAUUGAAAUCAAAAUUCUCUGCUAACUUUUUUCACAAAGUAAUUUUAGCCAUUACUGAGCUAUACAUAUAGGACAACAAAUAUCUUACUAAUUUAUCUAUAAUAACAGAAAAUGUACUCAUCACUGAGUUGUGCAUUUAGGACAUCAAAUAUCUUACUAAUUUAUUUGUAAUAAUAGAAAAAUAUUCAUAAUUUGAUACGAUAUCUUACUAAUUUGUUAUAACUUCAAUAUCUUUCUUUUUCGACCCAUUCUAAUAACCUCAAUAUCACCAACACUGGACAAACACCCAAUCACAUCUACAACAUGGAGGAGGAAAAAAAAAUAGAUUAACUGGGCAAGAAAAACACAUUAGAGAUAAAAGGGAUAAAUCACAAAUGUAUAAGUCAGAGUAGAACACACCUGAUAGGACUGUAUUAUCAUUGAUCCAUAAAUCAAGCAAUUCUACAGUAAUAAAUUAGAAUCCAUAGUUCGCAAUAUUUAUAAUCCCUUCUUCUAUCUUUUUAACUGAAGUUAUAAUCAAAAAAUAAUCUUGUAAUCAUUCAAAAUUAGUUGAUACUGCCUUGUGCUACCAACAAUCUUAAAAUUUUUUACACCAAAAACAGAACCCUUAACCAACAGAUGCCUAAACUUGCUUACUUGAUUCUUCCUUAUUGUUGCAUGCAUCAAAUUUUUCUAUAAUUAAACAAUAUGAUUUUAAAAUUGCUAAACUAAUCAAAGAUAGUUUUAAAUAAAAAUUUUUAUCGAUGCCACUACACAACAUCAACAUCACCUUCUAGUCAAUAAAAAUCAUAUCCAAACCGAUCAAGUCACCAUUGUUUUUCAGAUAAUAGACUCUCACAUCUUACAGAUCCUCACCCUUAUCAUCCAAUCAUCCUUAGUAGCAUUCAGCUCAUCAAGCAAAGAAUAUUUCAUACUGAUAAACCCCACUAAUAGAAACAGAAAAAUAAAAAUAUAUCAGAUAAAAAGUAUAGAAUAUGACUCACCACCCUUCAUGAUCAACUAUAUAUAAUGGCUAGAAUCAUUGAAGAAUAAGCAUCUAAUAAGACACCCUAAUCAAAUCACAUAAAUUGGAAGAAGAAGGGAUAGAUCCAGAGCAUGCUAAGCAGAUCCACCUAAAAGAUAGAUUGUAAUAAAUCAUAAAAAAAAGAAAAAGAAAAAGAAAUCACAUUGCAAGAGGAAGACCAAAAGAAUAGGGACAUUAAUCAUAUUGAUAUGCAUAAAUCAUCAAUAAAUAAGUAAUUAACACAUUGCUACAAUUUAUAAGAUUUAACACCAGAUAAUUCUAUAAUUUAAGAUAAAUAAAGAGGAUAGAUACAAUUUCAAUAGUUUUGUCUCUUACUACUCAAAAAAAUAUUAUAAAAAAAGAUAAAUAGCAAUACAUGUCAGAGAGAUCUCCUCACAAAGAUGAGAAACUUUCUCUCUCCCACAGAUCAUUGAAGAAUAAGCAUUUGGUAAGACGCCCUAAUCAAAUCACAUAAAUUAAAAGAAGAAGGGAUAGAUUUAGAGCAUGCUAAACAGAUCUACCUAAAAGACAGAUUGUAAUAAACUAUAAGAAAAAAAAAUCACACAGUAAGAGGAAGACCAAAAGAAUAGGGAUAUCAAUAAUAUUGACUUGCAUAAAUCAUCAAUAAAUAAGUAAUUAAUACAUCACUAUAAUUUAUAAGAUUUAACAACAGACAAUUUUGUAAUUUAAGAUGAAUAAAGAGGAUAGAAACAAUUUCAACGGCUUUAUUUUUCACUACUCAAAAAAUAUUAUAAAAAAGAUAAAUAAUAAUAUAUGUUUGAGAGAUCUCCUCAUAAAAUGAGAAACUUUCUCUCUCCCAUAAUUUUAUUAUAGAUAAUAGAUAGACAGAUAAUAAGUAGAUUAGAUAGUAUUUAAUGGUUGAGUAGAAAAUUAUCUUCAAAAAAAUAAAAAAUAAUAUCCUAUUAAGAAAAGAAAGGUGGCCGCAUCUGCACGCACCAUCGGACGAUCGUGCCGGGAUGCGCACAGGGUGACCGACGUGCUUUUAAGCUCCCCUUCUCCAGCGAUUCAUCUCCUCUUCAUCCUCCUUCUUCCCAAUAAAAAAAUGCUUCCCUCCCUUCAAAACCCCUUCAAAUCCCUCAUCAUUCAGCCAUGAAAUCAUCCUUUAUUCUCUUGGUCAUCUCCACCAUCGCCGUGGCCCACCAAAUCCUUGAUCCCCUGUUACUCCCCAGACCGCUGAUGGAAAAAAGAAAGGAAAUACCCAACACAAAAGCCCAGCCAUCAUCUAAGCUUCCCACGUUCCAAUGCCUCCUCCAUCGGUCCCUUUCACAUACUCUUCUUCCCCUUGAUGAGCCCCGGCCACAUGAUCCCCAUGGUCAUCAUGGUCUGCCUCUUUGCCACUCGCGGUGUCCGCUCCACCAUCGUCACCGCCCCCGGCAACGCCGCCAACCUCCGCCGCACCGUCGGUUCCUACGCGAUCGGUGGCCUCCUCCUCUCUCUCCACAUCAUCCCUUUCUCAGACCCUGCCGCCAAUGGUCUCGCCCCCAGCCAGAAGAACCUCUCUUCUAUCCCCAUUGCCCAGUUCAACACUCUUCCUCCGACUCCUCCCCUCGAAAGCAAACGAAGCUGUCGACCAGGGAAGCUUAGGCGAUGCUGUUUUUCUAUAUGGCUUCUCCAGGGUUAGGGUUUGGAUUCGAACGAAAAGAAGAGGAGGCAUUCUGGAUUCCUUGGCCUGAGAUUGCCUUUGGCACGGCUGGCAGGGGAGAUCCCAGGCUCCGCAGCCAUCGCCAUCAGCACCCGCGAUGCAGAGUCCCUCUUUCGCAUGAAGCUGAUGCUGGAGAUCCGCACUUUGGAGGCGGCAACCUGAUGGGUGAUCGAUGAGAAGAAGGAAGAGCUCCAGCAG
rnacentral:lncRNA from 1 species